UACAGAGGGUGCGAGCGUUAAUCGGAAUUACUGGGCGUAAAGCGUGCGUAGACGGUUAUUUAAGUCGGGUGUGAAAGCCCCGGGCUCAACCUGGGAAUUGCAUUCGAGACUGAAUAGCUAGGCUACGGUAGAGGGAAGCGGAAUUUCCGGUGUAGCGGUGAAAUGCGUAGAUAUCGGAAGGAACAUCAGUGGCGAAAGCGGCUUCCUGGACCAGUACCGACGUUCAGGCACGAAAGCGUGGGGAGCAAACAGG
rnacentral:rRNA from 1 species